AGCGAACGCUGGCGGCAGGCUUAACACAUGCAAGUCGAGCGGGCGUAGCAAUACGUCAGCGGCAGACGGGUGAGUAACGCGUGGGAACAUACCUUUUGGUUCGGAACAACACAGGGAAACUUGUGCUAAUACCGGAUAAGCCCUUACGGGGAAAGAUUUAUCGCCGAAAGAUUGGCCCGCGUCUGAUUAGCUAGUUGGUAGGGUAAUGGCCUACCAAGGCGACGAUCAGUAGCUGGUCUGAGAGGAUGAUCAGCCACAUUGGGACUGAGACACGGCCCAAACUCCUACGGGAGGCAGCAGUGGGGAAUAUUGGACAAUGGGGGCAACCCUGAUCCAGCCAUGCCGCGUGAGUGAUGAAGGCCCUAGGGUUGUAAAGCUCUUUUGUGCGGGAAGAUAAUGACGGUACCGCAAGAAUAAGC
rnacentral:rRNA from 2 species